GACGAACGCUGGCGGCGUGCCUAACACAUGCAAGUCGAGCGGAGAUAAGCGGAUGGUAACUGAAGUUUGUCUUAGCGGCGGACGGGUGAGUAACACGUGGGCAACCUGCCUUGAAGUGGGGGAUAACACCGGGAAUCGGUGCUAAUACCGCAUAACAUACACAAACUGCAUGGUGAGUGUAUCAAAGGAGCAAUCCGCUUUAAGAUGGGCCCGCGGCUGAUUAGCUAGUUGGUAAGGUAACGGCUUACCAAGGCGACGAUCAGUAGCCGACCUGAGAGGGUGACCGGCCACACUGGGAACUGAGACACGGUCCAGACUCCUACGGGAGGCAGCAGUGGGGAAUAUUGCGCAAUGGGGGGAACCCUGACGCAGCAACGCCGCGUGGAGGAAGAAGGUCUUCGGAUUGUAAACUCCUGUCUUCUGGGACGAAUAAUGACGGUACCAGAGGAGGAAGCCACGGCUAACUACGUG
rnacentral:rRNA from 1 species